UCCUGUGGAGAUUUCUGAAAGGCUGCGUUUUUGCAGGUCUGGGUUCCACUCCUGCCAUUGUCAUGCCUUCUUGAGGAGUAUCCAGGGAACAUUUUACACUCCCAGACUCCAUAAAUUCCCUGGGCUGAUACCAGAGGCUGAGAUGUAUGCACUUGACUGAGACAUUCACCGGGGAUUUGCUGAGGCCAAAAUUAAAUCAGCUGUUGCACCGAGAAGGGAGGGAGUCCCGUCUGCACACACCUCUUGCCCAGAGUGCCAGAGAGUUUGGACCCAGGUGUCUGAGUUCUCCCACAAAAGCUCUGCUGUGCACGAGGAACAUUUCAGGAUACUGCUGCAAGCGUGAGUGCAUCCGUAAUUCUGUUUUUGAAGACAAAUCAUUUCAAGUAGAGUGCAUAGAGCUCAUGACAC